rnacentral:rRNA from 1 species
AUACAUAGUCAAACGAAGCGAACCGGGGGAACUGAAACAUCUCAGUACCCCGAGGAAAAGAAAUCAACCGAGAUUCCCCUAGUAGCGGCGAGCGAACGGGGAGCAGCCCAGAGUCUUAAUCAGCAUUAGCAUCAGGAGAACGGUCUGGAAAGUCCGGCAGUAAAGGGUGAUAGCCCCGUAUCCGAAGGUGUUAGUGUUGUGAACUCGACGAGUAGGGCGGGACACGUGUUAUCCUGUCUGAAUAUGGGGGGACCAUCCUCCAAGGCUAAAUACUCCUGAUUGACCGAUAGUGAACCAGUACCGUGAGGGAAAGGCGAAAAGAACCCCGGCGAGGGGAGUGAAAUAGAACCUGAAACCGUGUACGUACAAGCAGUGGGAGCCUUGAUUUAUCAGGGUGACUGCGUACCUUUUGUAUAAUGGGUCAGCGACUUAUAUUCUGUAGCAAGGUUAACCGUAUAGGGGAGCCGUAGGGAAACCGAGUCUUAACUGGGCGAAUAAGUUGCAGGGUAUAGACCCGAAACCCGGUGAUCUAGCCAUGGGCAGGUUGAAGGUUGGGUAACACUAACUGGAGGACCGAACCGACUAAUGUUGAAAAAUUAGCGGAUGACUUGUGGCUGGGGGUGAAAGGCCAAUCAAACCGGGAGAUAGCUGGUUCUCCCCGAAAGCUAUUUAGGUAGCGCCUCGUGAACUCAUCUUCGGGGGUAGAGCACUGUUUCGACUAGGGGGUCAUCCCGACUUACCAACUCGAUGCAAACUACGAAUACCGAAGAAUGUUAUCACGGGAGACACACGGCGGGUGCUAACGUUCGUCGUGAAGAGGGAAACAACCCAGACCGCCAGCUAAGGUCCCAAAGUCAUAGUUAAGUGGGAAACGAAGUGGGAAGGCUCAGACAGCCAGGAUGUUGGCUUAGAAGCAGCCAUCAUUUAAAGAAAGCGUAAUAGCUCACUGGUCGAGUCGGCCUGCGCGGAAGAU